rnacentral:pre_miRNA from 1 species
GUGGGCUGGGAGCACAGGCACUGUGGGCUUCGUGUGGUGCUGUGUCCUCACUCACCU